rnacentral:lncRNA from 1 species
ACAUGCUUGCAUAUCUUAGGAUAUAUUUAAUAAUAUAAUUAGAUUAAGAAGUUUUGGCAAGAUACAUGCUUAAAAGUAGGGAUUAUUGGUAGAAGUUUGUAGAGGUUCUUACCCCAAAAUUAUUUUUUUUUAAUGAGAAUGGAUUAAUAGGAUUUUAUACUAAAACUUAUAACAUUAAACAUAAGAACAUUACAAAAGUUUAAAAAAAUUAGAAAAGUAAAAAAUAAAUUACAAAAGUUAAAAAAAAUUACAAAAACAUAAAAUAAAAGCAUGAUUUUUAUUUAAUAGAUAGAAACUUAAAAAUGAGAUUUUACCCAAACUUAUCCCAUAUAUGUUCGAUCAAAUCAUGUUUCAAUUGUUGAUGGACUGGUCUACCCCGAACUCUUGCUCGACGAUCAAGUGAACUGAAAAGCUCAGUAGGUUCCUUAACGAGAAAAGAAAUAUCUGCAUCUUGAAACGUCUCAUCUUGAUCGUCUGUACGUCUUUACAACUUCUUCAGCCUCUUUCAGUGGUUCUUUUUUGGCUAAAAGAGUGUCUAGAAUAGCUAGCUUAGACAGUCUCUCCUUCCUGUCCAAAUCAUCCUUCUUCAUCUCCCAAUCUUCCCUCUUCAUCUCCAUGAUGGUCUCAUAAUCAGCCACUGACUUUCCUUUUGCAGUGUUCCUUUUAGCCUUAGCCGCCUUUACACCUUCAGGCCGGACCUCAUCAUCAGCAGCAGUGGUGUUUGUACUUUGGCUCGGGGUGUCACAUUCUUUUCGCUUUGAAGAACCAGUCGGUUUAGGAGUGUUCAGACUUAGCCACUUCUGUUCAAACCGCAGAAUACACCACGCAUGCUCAAGAGUAAAUUUCUUCUUGUGAUCAGCGAAGUAGAUCUCGUGCGCCAUCUUGAGAACAUCGUGAUCACUCUGACCAGAGCUGAUCUGUCUCUCUGCUGCUGCAUAUGCAGCACAGAACUUGUUGGUGAAAUCGUUUAUCUUGUGCCACCUCUGUUUUAUAUUCAGAUGCUCUCUUCGGUCACCACUCUGUUUUGCAUGUGGAGAUGCAGCAUAAUAUUCACCUACUCGGGACCAGAAGGUCCCUAACUUCUGUGAAUUUCCUACCACCGAAUCCUUAGACGUAUUUAUCCAAGCGCUGAUGAUAACCUCGUCAUCAGCUGGUGUCCACUUUUUUCUGUCCUUAGAGGCCAAUGGUGUCGCGGUUUCUUGUGAACUAAAAGGAGGGAUAUCAGCCUGUUGUGACUCUCCAAAGUGGACACCCG